CAAGACACAACAACAACAAUGAACAACAUCCUCAUCCUCGUCUGGACUCUCACACUGUUUGCUCAAGAGUGUAGAGGACAGAUCACUGUAACUCAGAGUGCAUCAAUAACAGCAGCUCAACCAGGACAAGAAGUCAGAAUAAACUGUAAAACCAGCAGUUCAGUGUAUAAUGAUAAUUAUUUAGCCUGGUAUUUACAGAAACCUGGAGAAGCUCCUAAACUCCUCAUAUAUUAUGCAACAAGCCGUUACACUGGAACUCCAUCUAGAUUCAGUGGCAGUGGAUCCAGAACUGAUUUCACUCUCACCAUCAGUGGAGUCCAGACUGAAGAUACAGGAGAUUAUUACUGUCAGAAGGUACUACUGUCACGGUUGCACUACUGUGAGGAGCGCGGAGCGAGGAACGAAGGAGGCGAGAAGUACAUCAAUCGAGAGAUUUUAAUGAAUUCAAGGGAACACGGAAAACACACGUAG